CUUAGACUGCAGUCGAACGAAGCACCUUGCGCAGAUCGCUUCGGUGUGAAGCAAUGGGUGACUUACUGGCGAACGGGUGAGUAACACGUGGGUGACCUGCCCCGAAGUGCGGCAUAACAGGGGGAAACUCCUGCUAAUCCCGCAUGUGCUCCCACCUCUUGUGGUGUGAGUAAAGAUUUAUCGCUUCGGGAUGGGCCCGCGGUCCAUCAGCUAGUUGGUAGGGUAAUGGCCUACCAAGGCUACGACGGAUAGCCGGCCUGAGAGGGUGAUCGGCCACAGGGGCACUGAGAUACGGGCCCCACUCCUACGGGAGGCAGCAGUUAGGAAUCUUCCACAAUGGGCGAAAGCCUGAUGGAGCGACGCCGCGUGAGGGAUGAAGGCCUUAGGGUUGUAAACCUCUAAAAGAGGGACGAUAAUGACGGUACCUCUUGAAUAGCACCGGCUAACUCCGUGCCAGCAGCGCGGUAAUC
rnacentral:rRNA from 1 species